AGCAGCCGCGGUAAUUCCAGCUCCAAUAGCGUAUAUUAAAGUUGUUGCAGUUAAAAAGCUCGUAGUUGAAUUUCGGGAUUAGUAAGUUGGUCGUGCCUCUGGUAUGUACUGGCUUUACUGGUUCCUCCUUCUUGAAGAACUGUAAUGUCAUUAAUUUGGUGUUGCAGGGAAACAGGACUGUUACUUUGAAAAAAUUAGAGUGUUUAAAGCAGGCUAACGCUUGAAUACAUUAGCAUGGAAUAAUGAAAUAGGACGUUUGAUCCUAUUUUGUUGGUUUCUAGGAUUGACGUAAUGAUUAAUAGGGAUAGUUGGGGGCAUUAGUAUUCAAUUGUCAGAGGUGAAAUUCUUGGAUUUAUUGAAGACUAACUACUGCGAAAGCAUUUGCCAAGGAUGUUUUCAUUAAUCAAGAACGAAAGUUAGGGGAUCGAAGACGAUCAGAUACCGUCGUAGUCUUAACCAUAAACUAUGCCGACUAGGGAUCGGAUGAUGUUAAUUUUUUAAUGACUCAUUCGGCGCCUUA
rnacentral:rRNA from 1 species